rnacentral:rRNA from 1 species
GACGAACGCUGGCGGCGUGCUUAACACAUGCAAGUCGAACGGAAAGGCCCUGCUUUUGUGGGGUGCUCGAGUGGCGAACGGGUGAGUAACACGUGAGUAACCUGCCCUUGACUUUGGGAUAACUUCAGGAAACUGGGGCUAAUACCGGAUAGGAGCUCCUGCUGCAUGGUGGGGGUUGGAAAGUUUCGGCGGUUGGGGAUGGACUCGCGGCUUAUCAGCUUGUUGGUGGGGUAGUGGCUUACCAAGGCUUUGACGGGUAGCCGGCCUGAGAGGGUGACCGGCCACAUUGGGACUGAGAUACGGCCCAGACUCCUACGGGAGGCAGCAGUGGGGAAUAUUGCACAAUGGGCGGAAGCCUGAUGCAGCAACGCCGCGUGCGGGAUGACGGCCUUCGGGUUGUAAACCGCUUUCGCCUGUGACGAAGCGUGAGUGACGGUAAUGGGUAAAGAAGCACCGGCUAACUACGUGCCAGCAGCCGCGGUGAUACGUAGGGUGCGAGCGUUGUCCGGAUUUAUUGGGCGUAAAGGGCUCGUAGGUGGUUGAUCGCGUCGGAAGUGUAAUCUUGGGGCUUAACCCUGAGCGUGCUUUCGAUACGGGUUGACUUGAGGAAGGUAGGGGAGAAUGGAAUUCCUGGUGGAGCGGUGGAAUGCGCAGAUAUCAGGAGGAACACCAGUGGCGAAGGCGGUUCUCUGGGCCUUUCCUGACGCUGAGGAGCGAAAGCGUGGGGAGCGAACAGGCUUAGAUACCCUGGUAGUCCACGCUGUAAACGGUGGGUACUAGGUGUGGGGUCCAUUCCACGGGUUCCGUGCCGUAGCUAACGCUUUAAGUACCCCGCCUGGGGAGUACGGCCGCAAGGCUAAAACUCAAAGGAAUUGACGGGGCCCCGCACAAGCGGCGGAGCAUGCGGAUUAAUUCGAUGCAACGCGUAGAACCUUACCUGGGUUUGACAUGGAUCGGGAGCGCUCAGAGAUGGGUGUGCCUCUUUUGGGGUCGGUUCACAGGUGGUGCAUGGCUGUCGUCAGCUCGUGUCGUGAGAUGUUGGGUUAAGUCCCGCAACGAGCGCAACCCUUGUUCACUGUUGCCAGCACGUUAUGGUGGGGACUCAGUGGAGACCGCCGGGGUCAACUCGGAGGAAGGUGGGGAUGACGUCAAGUCAUCAUGCCCCUUAUGUCCAGGGCUUCACGCAUGCUACAAUGGCUGGUACAGAGAGUGGCGAGCCUGUGAGGGUGAGCGAAUCUCGGAAAGCCGGUCUCAGUUCGGAUUGGGGCCUGCAACUCGACCUCAUGAAGUCGGAGUCGCUAGUAAUCGCAGAUCAGCAACGCUGCGGUGAAUACGUUCCCGGGGCU